rnacentral:rRNA from 1 species
GACGAACGCUGGCGGCGUGCUUAACACAUGCAAGUCGAACGGGCCCGCCCCUGUUUUUGGGGGUGGGUUGAGUGGCGAACGGGUGAGUAUCACGUGAGUAACCUGCCCCCUGCUCCUGGAUAACUGCUUGAAAGGGCGGCUAAUACGGGGUGUGCCGGCUGGUCCGCAUGGGCCUGGUCGGGAUAGUUUCAUCUUCGGGUGUUUCGGUGGGGGAUGGGCUCGCGGCCUAUCAGCUUGUUGGUGGGGUGAUGGCCCACCAAGGCGGUGACGGGUAGCCGGCGUGAGAGGGUGGGCGGACAGACUGGGACUGAGGCACGGCCCAGACUCCUGCGGGAGGCAGCAGUGGGGGGUAUUGCACAGUGGGCGGAAGCCUGAUGCAGCGACGUCGCGUGAGGGAUGGAGGCCUUCGGGUUGUGAACCUCUUUCUCCGGUGGUGAAGGCCCUGUCCGUUGCGGCGGGGUUGACGGUAGCCGGGUAUGAAGCGCCGGCUAACUACGUG